rnacentral:rRNA from 1 species
CAUUUACGGAGAGUUUGAUUCUGGCUCAGAACGAACGCUGGCGGCGUGGAUAAGACAUGCAAGUCGAACGCGAAUUCAUUUGAUAGCAAUAUUAGAUGAGUUUGAGUGGCGAAAGGGUGCGUAACACGUGGGAAUGUGCCGAAAAGUGGGGAAUAGCUCACCGAAAGGUGAGGUAAUGCCCCAUGUGAAGGAGACUUUAAAGUUAGGGAUCGCAAGACCUGACGCUUUUCGAGCAGCCCGCGGCCUAUCAGCUAGUUGGUGAGGUAAUGGCUCACCAAGGCUAUGACGGGUAGCUGGUCUGAGAGGACGACCAGCCACACUGGAACUGAGACACGGUCCAGACACCUACGGGUGGCAGCAGUCGAGAAUUUUUCACAAUGGGGGAAACCCUGAUGGAGCGACGCCGCGUGGAGGAUGAAGGUUUUCGGAUUGUAAACUCCUGUCACUGCAGAGCAAAGCUACGGUACUAAUAUCACCGGAGUCUGAUAGUAUGCAGGGAGGAAGGGACGGCUAACUCUGUGCCAGCAGCCGCGGUAAUACAGAGGUCCCGAGCGUUGUUCGGAUUCACUGGGCGUAAAGGGUGUGUAGGAGGUUUGAUAAGUCAGGUGUGAAAUCCCAUCGCUCAACGAUGGAACUGCAUUCGAUACUGUCAGACUAGAGGAUCGGAGGGGGAAGCGGAAUUCUUGGUGUAGCGGUGAAAUGCGUAGAUAUCAAGAGGAACACCGGUGGCGAAGGCGGCUUCCUGGAAGAUACCUGACUCUGAAACACGAAAGCUAGGGGAGCGAAUGGGAUUAGAUACCCCAGUAGUCCUAGCUGUAAACGGUGUGCGUUAAGCGCUAGCGGAUUCGACCCCGCUGGUGCUGUAGAUAACUCGUUAAACGCACCGCCUGAGGAGUACGGUCGCAAGAUUAAAACUCAAAGAAAUUGACGGGGGCCCGCACAAGCGGUGGAGUAUGUGGCUUAAUUCGAUGCAACGCGAAGAACCUUACCCAGGCUUGACAUGCAUUGUUCAAGGGAUGAAAGUCUCUGGCUAGCAAUAGCGAAUUGCACAGGUGCUGCAUGGCUGUCGUCAGCUCGUGUCGUGAGAUGUUGGGUUAAGUCCCGCAACGAGCGCAACCCCUAUGAACUGUUGCCGAAAGGAUCUCUGUUCAGACUGCCCUGUUUAACGGGGAGGAAGGUGGGGAUGACGUCAAGUCAGUAUGGCCCUUACGCCUGGGGCUGCACACGUACUACAAUGCUCAGUACAGAAGGAAGCAAGACCGCGAGGUGGAGCAAAUCCCUAAAACUGAGCCCAGUUCGGAUUGGAGGCUGCAACUCGCCUCCAUGAAGUUGGAAUCGCUAGUAAUGGCGCAUCAGCUACGGCGCCGUGAAUACGUUCCCGGGCCUUGUACACACCGCCCGUCACAUCAUGAAAGCCUAUUGUACCCGAAGUCGGUUUCCGCCUAAGGUAUGGUCGGUAAUUGGGAUGAAGUCGUAACAAGGUAGCCGUAGGGGAACCUGCGGCUGGAUCACCUCCUUUCU